GCCAUCAGGACCCUGGUCAGACAUCUCCUAAGGGGCCCCAGCAAGGCUGUGAAAUCAUCUCCCUAGCCCCAGAAAAAGAUUCUGGCACCAACAGCACUUGAGCUGAAGAAUCAAAAGGUGUCGAUUCCAAUACAAUAAAAGGAGCCAACUUGGAAAUCUUGACAGUAAACUUCUGUGGCUUUUUCCUGCAACAUUCUUUAAAAUUUCUUGGGGAAAAUGUUACAAGGAACACACUUUGAGAAAUCCUGCCAUCCUGUCCAGACAUGCUGGACUAAGGGUUGCCUCUAAAGUAAAAUGCCUUAUCCAUGGUGAGAGAUGCUCCCAGAGAGAUAUUUUAGGAUGAGGAGAAAACCAGAGGAGCAGCAAGAAGGAACAC
rnacentral:lncRNA from 1 species